AACGAACGCUGGCGGCGUGCCUAACACAUGCAAGUCGAACGAGAAGUACGUAGCAAUACGUAUUGUAAAGUGGCGCACGGGUGAGUAACACGUGGGUAAUCUGCCCUUGAGUUUGGGAUAACCCCGCGAAAGCGGGGCUAAUACCGAAUAAGACCACGGGGACCAAAGUCCCUGAGGUAAAAGACGGCCUCUAUUUAUAAGCUGUCACUUGGGGAUGAGCCCGCGGCCCAUUAGCUAGUUGGUAGGGUAACGGCCUACCAAGGCGAUGAUGGGUAGCUGGUCUGAGAGGACGAUCAGCCACACUGGAGCUGAGACACGGUCCAGACUCCUACGGGAGGUAGCAGUGGGGAAUAUUGCGCAAUGGGCGAAAGCCUGACGCAGCAACGCCGCGUGGGGGAUGAAGGUUCUCGGAUUGUAAACCCCUUUCGAUCGGAACGAAUCUCCUCCUGGUGAAUAAUCAGGAGGAUCGACGGUACCGGGAGAAGAAGCCACGGCUAACUCUGUGCCAGCAGCCGCCGUAAUAC
rnacentral:rRNA from 1 species